AUGAACGCUGGCGGCAGGCCUAACACAUGCAAGUCGAGCGGAAACGAGAUUAUCUGAACCUUCGGGGAGACGGUAACGGCGUCGNGCGGCGGACGGGUGAGUAAUGCCUAGGAAAUUGCCCUGAUGUGGGGGAUAACCAUUGGAAACAGUGGCUAAUACCGCAUGAUGCCUACGGGCCAAAGAGGGGGACCUUCGGGCCUCUCGCGUCAGGAUAUGCCUAGGUGGGAUUAGCUAGUUGGUGAGGUAAGGGCUCACCAAGGCGACGAUCCCUAGCUGGUCUGAGAAGAUGAUCAGCCACACUGGAACUGAGACACGGGC
rnacentral:rRNA from 1 species